UCAGAAAAUGGACAUCAGGCAUGUGAUAUGAGGUGGAUGAUAUGUCAAGAGAUAGAGAGUACAGGACAGAACUAAUUUUCUCGCGAGAAGUAUGUUGUAUUUAAUCAUGGUGGUGGGUGUGCACGUGAGAGGCUUGAGAAAGGGAGUUCAUUCUCCUGAAACGACGCCUUAUCUAUGGUCGGCGGAUUUCCUGAGUAGCUCGACUUUCAGCCCACAGGAGAUGCAAUUAAUCAUGGCCGGGAAUAGAAGACCUCAGAGAGGCUGAUGAAAUCCUAAAAGUGCCGGAUUGAUUUUUGCUACUUUAUCACUGGAAAGAACACAAACAGUUAACUACAUAUAACGGUUCCUCUAAUUCUGGUAAUUGAUAAGAAAUGAUAAGAAAGCUGCUGGAAAUAAUUACAUUUGACAGCUGUAGACUAUGUGUGGCUACAUAUGACGUCUUCCCGUAAGCCUCUUAUCAAGUGAAAAUCUGAAGAAUGCGAUUAUUAGUAGUCACAUCAAGGGCAGUGGAGGCAUCUCCAUAAGAACUCUACCUUGUUAAUUAUAGUUUCUAAUGUAAAUAUGCCUUUGACUAA